rfam:Microgenomates (Roizmanbacteria) bacterium GW2011_GWA2_35_19 TR68_C0002, whole genome shotgun sequence.
GGACCUGUAGCUCAGUUGGCUAGAGCGUUGCAUUCACAUUGCAGAUGUCAGAGGUUCGAGUCCUCUCAGGUCCA